rnacentral:rRNA from 1 species
AUGACGAUCUUAAGCUGGAACUGCCGGGGCCUAGGGCAACCCCGGACAGUUCAGGAACUAGUGUGCUUAGUACACACUCUCAAGCCCAAGCUUGUGUUCCUGUCAGAGACGCGGCAAAGCAACUCGUACGUCAAUAAGUUAAGGUGGAGGCUUGGCCUCAAGCAUUGUAUCACGCAGCCCGGUAUCGGAAAAGAUGCGGGAAUUGCGCUUUUCUAUGAUGAGAGUGUUGAAGUAAUAAAGCUUGCCGUUGGCCCGAGGUAA